UCUCCGUAGGUGAACCUGCGGAGGGAUCAUUACUGAGUGAGGGUUUAACCGCCCGACCUCCAACCCUUUGUGAAUCGUACUCGUUGCUUCGGGGGCGACCCUGCCGUCCGCGGCUGAGCGCCCCCGAAGGUCUCCAAACACUGCAUUCUCUGCGUCGGAGUAUUAGUAAAUCUAAUCAAAACUUUCAACAACGGAUCUCUUGGUUCUGGCAUCGAUGAAGAACGCAGC
rnacentral:misc_RNA from 1 species